rnacentral:lncRNA from 1 species
UUUUUUUUUUUUUAUAUAAAUGUAGAUCUAGUUUCAUUUUAUGACAUAGAGUGAUUCUAUUAUAUUUUGGUCUAUCACACAUUUAUUUUAGUUUCUAUGGUUCAAUUAACUUCAUAUAUAUGUUGAAAAUACAUACAUAUAUAUAUAUAUAUAUAUAUAUAUAUAUAUAUAUAUAUAUAUAUAUAUAUAUAUAUAUAUAUAUAUAUUUCAUUUCUUUUAUUUUUGUUCUUUCCUUAAUUAUAUCUUCAUAUUGAUCUUUUCUUAUAGUGGUGCGAAAAACUUCCAUCCGCAUGUGACAACAUAGUGGGCAUGACGGCCAUAUUUUGCACAGAUCAACUAUUGAGAGCUUGAAGCACCGAUUGUGUGUGUUUUAAGCUGCUUCUAAUAAGAGGUUCAUGUGGUUCUUUUUCAAGUUUUCAUAAACCUCUUUGAAACAAGAAGCACACAACUUUUAUCUUAUACCACCAAACUCUUUUUUGUUCAGCUAUUUUCUCUUCGAUGAUUAUGAGGUUAAAAAAAGUCUAAUUACUAUGGCCGGCAGCUUUUCUUACAAAGCAAAAGGGCCUAGAUUUGACAAUUGAAAAAGACCCAGACAAGGAAUAAAAUGCAUAUUCCAUUAUCAUAGCACUUUUUUUUUUUAUUUUCUAUAAAUAGUAUAGAACUACGCUAACUAUUCUAUUUGUUGUCUUAAAACAACAAACUAUUCUAAUUGGUAAGAUGUUUUAUUAUUCUCUACUGGGAUUUUCUUUUUUGACUGAAUUACCGGGAUUCUUUUAAAACAAUUAUUAUCAUUACAUUUUGUUUUCUAAAGUGUAUAUGUUCUAGCAUUUUAUAUUUUGGGAAACCCCAUUUUGGGUUUUGUAGAAGUAAAACCGAGGUAGGAUCCAGUUUUUGUGGCGGAUCUAUACAAAUAAUCUUAUGGGUAAUGGAUGGGAAUUGCUUUGUGCAUCCUGCAAAUUGUGUCCACCUAACACUUUUUCAUUUUCUUCAAAAUUAUCCCCAACAAAACUAUGGAUUUGUAAUACACAAAGCGAAUUUAUAUUCCACAAGCUUACGGAUUGAUAAUCGGUAUGUUUAUAUAGAUUGUCUCCGUAUGUUUAUACGGAUUGUCAUGCAUACGGAUCGACAAUUCGCAUGUUCAUAUUGAUUGUCCAUACAGAUUGUCCAUACAGAUUGACAAUUCAUAUGUUCAUAAGGAUUGUUGUGCGUCCAGAUCGACAAUUAGUAUGCACGUACAAAUUAUAAUUUUUUUUAAAAUGUUAUACAAAUUAUUUUUUUAAUUUCUAAUGUAUAUUUAAUGUACAUAUAAAUUUAUAUAAUAAAUUUUGUGACAAUUAAUUUUGUUCUAAUAUAUUUAAUGUACC